CAUCCGCGUGAGUGAAGAAGGCCUUCGGGUUGUAAAGCUCUUUCGCAAGGGAAGAAAACUUAUGAUCGAAUAAAUCAUGAGGUUGACGGUACCUUGAUAAGAAGCACCGGCUAACUACGUGCCAGCAGCCGCGGUAAUACGUAGGGUGCGAGCGUUAAUCGGAAUUACUGGGCGUAAAGCGUGCGCAGGCGGUUUUGUAAGUCGGAUGUGAAAUCCCCGGGCUCAACCUGGGAACUGCGGUUGUGACUGCGAGGCUAGAGUACAGCAGAGGGGGGUGGAAUUCCACGUGUAGCAGUGAAAUGCGUAGAGAUGUGGAGGAACACCAAUGGCGAAGGCAGCCCCCUGGGUUGAUACUGACGCUCAUGCACGAAAGCGUGGGGAGCAAACAGGAUUAGAUACCCUGGUAGUCCACGCCCUAAACGAUGCCAACUAGUUGUUGGGGAAGGAGACUUCCUUAGUAACGAAGCUAACGCGUGAAGUUGGCCGCCUGGGGAGUACGGUCGCAAGAUUAAAACUCAAAGGAAUUGACGGGGACCCGCACAAGCGGUGGAUGAUGUGGAUUAAUUCGAUG
rnacentral:rRNA from 1 species